ACGCAGUACUUGUUGGCGGGGCUGGGUCUAGGCGUAGGCAACGUUGGCAGCCGUCUUGGGGUGUCUCGUGAAGGUGCAGUAUGCGUACAGCAGGGCGGGGCGCCAUGGCGCACGUUCACCGAAGGCCUCUCAUGGCCGCGCUAGGUUCCAUGCGCUAAUAACCCCUCUCUCUCUGGUGCCGGCAGCAUGCUGCGGAAUGACAGGCAGUUUAAAGGGACGUCCACAUCCACACGCGACUUGGAGAUGAACGCUGCAGUUGAAAGGCUUUUGCUGAAUGAACGGGGCCUUUCCAGAUUCCACACGCCCAUACCUGCUGAUAGCUUCUUAAAGUCCAAACAAAGGUGUACAGAUAAAAUUUCACCUACCAAGAUCUUGUUUCUGAGAAUAAUAGCCUUCCUGCCAGCGAAUGGCUCUUUGUUUAGAAGCAGAACUGAGCCCGUGCUGGGCGGGGCCCCUGACGGAACCUCUGAUCAACUGUAAACACCGCUGAUAACUGAAACUUUGAAAUCCCACCGUUUGUUAGUUUUUAUUGCCCUGUAGAUUUGAGAGGCCCCGGGCGGCGCUCCUGCCAACAGAAACUGGGCCGUGCGACGGGCCGCUGAGAUCUGCGUGUAUAGCCCGAGCCAUAAAUAGUUUGCCUUGGCCUUGUGUCAGAGAUCAAAGAACGCCAGGAAUCCAGGGCCUUCCUGGGACUGAGCAUGUGAUGCGUGCAUGUUACACUGUUGCCAUGGUGAGGAUCUCCUGGGUUCCAUCUGGGGGCACUCAUCUGAAGAAUUAAAUAUUUUUUGAAAAUACUGAAUUGAAUUGCUUUUAAGAUUAUUUGUCUUGCAAAUAUGGAUGUAUAUAAGCCAUGCAUCAUUUUCAUUUGAGAUAAGUAGACACUUUAAAAAUGUAUAAAUAUUUAUUUUGUAUUCACCAGCCCAGCAUUUGUCCACAUUUAUCCAAAUUGGAAGUGAGUGACUAUUUUGGUUUUCCUUACAGUUGGUUUUAAAUAUGAUACUUUGAUAAUAGGUUAUAAACCUAAGAA